GUGUUCACUUUGGCAGCCCACAUACUGAACUGUAACAAUGCAGAGAUUAUUAGCAUGGUUGCUACAUAAAUAUGAUACACAAAUUCUGGAAGCAUUCCUUAUUUUG